AUUGAACGCUGGCGGAAUGCUUUACACAUGCAAGUCGAACGGCAGCACGGACUUCGGUCUGGUGGCGAGUGGCGAACGGGUGAGUAAUGUAUCGGAACGUGCCCAGUCGUGGGGGAUAACGUAGUGAAAAUUACGCUAAUACCGCAUACGAUCUAUGGAUGAAAGCGGGGGAUCGCAAGACCUCGCGCGAUUGGAGCGGCCGAUAUCAGAUUAGGUAGUUGGUGGGGUAAAGGCCCACCAAGUGAACGAUCUGUAGCUGGUCUGAGAGGACGACCAGCCACACGGGAGCUGAGGGACGGUCCAGACUCCUCCGGGAGGCAGCAUUGGGGAAUUUUGGACAAUGGGCGAAAGCCUGAUCCAGCCAUUCCGCGUGCAGGAUGAAGGCCCUCGGGUUGUAACUGCUUUUGUACAGAACGAAAAGGUUUCUACUAAUACUAGGAGCUCAUGACGGUACUGUAAGAAUAAGCACCGGCUAACUACGUGCCAGCCGCCGCCGUAA
rnacentral:rRNA from 1 species